CAGGUCAUGUCCCUCUGGCUGUCUUCUCUUCUGCAUUCAAAAAGGACAACUGUGAACAACUCCUGUCCACAGGGAAUAGCGGAAUAUCACCAAGUCAAGAUUUUUCUGCUUCAAGAUUUGUGGUGAGGCUCCUUGCUACAUAUUCCCACUGCCUUCAAGGAAGUUAAAUGAGAUCGUUCAUACAUCAUCACUAAACAAAGAGUCAUCUCCUGUGCACAAAUCCGCAUGAAUUCCCAUUCCACAAAUGGUUUCAAUAAGGCAGAUUCUGCAGUAACGUAAAUUGCUGUCAGACGAUGCUGGGAGGACAUGGCCAAGACUUGAGCAUCUCCCCAGGACCUGUAAAACAUUCAGCACCAUUUGUUACAGCGGGGACGAUGUAUCUGAAUAAAACGACAGGCAUUUUAUCAGGCUGGGAGAAUAAAAUCACUUCAGGAACCAG